rnacentral:rRNA from 1 species
UAAGACGAACCGUGCGAACGUUGUUCGGAAUCACUGGGCUUAAAGGGCGCGUAGGCGGCGCAGCGAGUCCGGGGUGAAAUCCUCCGGCCCAACCGGAGACGGGCCUCGGAGACCGCUGCGCUCGAGGGGGGCAGGGGCAGGUGGAACUUCCGGUGGAGCGGUGAAAUGCGUUGAGAUCGGAAGGAACGCCGGCGGCGAAAGCGACCUGCUGGGCCCUCUCUGACGCUGAGGCGCGAAAGCCAGGGGAGCGAACGGGAUUAGAUACCCCGGUAGUCCUGGCCCUAAACGAUGGGUACCAGGCAGGGGACCAGACACGGGUUCCCUGCCGGAGCUAAAGUGCUAAGUACCCCGCCUGGGGAGUAUGGUCGCAAGGCUG